rnacentral:rRNA from 1 species
UCGGGAAUUUUGGGCAAUGGGCGAAAGCCUGACCCAGCAACGCCGCGUGAAGGAUGAAGUCUUUCGGGAUGUAAACUUCGUAAAAAUAGGAAGAAUAAAUGACGGUACUAUUUGUAAGGUCCGGCUAACUACGUGCCAGCAGCCGCGGUAAUACGUAGGGACCAAGCGUUGUUCGGAUUUACUGGGCGUAAAGGGCGCGUAGGCGGCGUGGUAAGUCACUUGUGAAAUCUCCGAGCCUAACUCGGAACGGUCAAGUGAUACUGCUGUGCUAGAGUACAGAAGGGGCAAUCGGAAUUCUUGGUGUAGCGGUGAAAUGCGUAGAUAUCAAGAGGAACACCUGAGGUGAAGACGGGUUGCUGGGCUGAUACUGACGCUGAGGCGCGAAAGCUAGGGUAGCAAACGGGAUUAGAUACCCACGUAGUCCCUGAGCGGGCUGGCAAGGCGCAU